GCUGGUUCAGAGUAACUGAAAAGCCUAUACCAGAAAAUAUGCCCCUACUAAAUGCAUUAUCAACAACAUCAAUGAUUUGAACAAUCAUGUUUCCUUCAACACUACAAGGAACUGGUGAAAAUUGGACAAUGAUGAAGACAUCUGUGUCACUUAAUAUCUAAAUUAUGAAGGAGAUAGUAGAUGAGUUUGACUGGGAAAUGGACGAUUACGAGAUUUUGCUGAUCAGAAAGUUCAAUAAGGUGGCCUGCCAGAGGAUGAGAAAGAAAAAUUCAAGGAAUUCCUGAAGGAGAAGGUUAGAGAAAGGAAGAGAGAACUGAAACAGGCUAAAGAAGCCAGGAGGAAAGCUAUUGAUGAUAUGGAUCCUAAGGGGAAAGGGUAAACCAAAAUCAAAAUCAAAUCCAAAGGAUACAUGUUCAUGGUUUGAUGGCGGCAGAAAAGCCAUGAUCCAACUAGCUGGAGAACUUUUCUGGAAAAUGGGUGAAGACCUGGAUAGCAUCGCAAAAGAUUAUACAACUUCUUUUCAUAAGUGGCAUGUCUGUUAGUUUUAUUUACCACAAUGCCCACCACCUUUAAGCCCAGUUAAACAGGUGAAGCAGGGCAGAACAAGAAGAGGCAGGUUUCAAUCUCGAAGUGGACAGCUCUUCGCUGUGGCACUUUUUGAUUCGUGAUGGUCUUGGAUGAAAAUCUCGGGCUGAGAAGAAUGAACGAUAUAUGCAAAAGCUCACAAGGAGCAGGCUGAGAGAUAGAAUUGGAGACACUUUAGACUUUGAAAUUAAGAGGUGGUCUAAUGGAAAACAGGGCAACUUGCGCGCUUUGUUAUUAACUUUACAAUAUGUGAGUUGAUGAUACUUUUGGUACUGGAGAAUGAAGCUUAACUGCAUGUGGUUUCUACCCAUGGCUCUGCUGCUGCGCUCUUGUAGAUUCGUCCGAGUGACAAGAAGGUAGAUUACCAAAUCCAGAAGCUCACCAAUGCGGCUGACAAUGCCACUGCUCGAGAGAAAUUAGGAAAUGCAGAGGCAAAUGGGAAGGAUGGGCAUUCGGAUGAGGAAGACCUCCUGAAGUAUAGGCCAAACCCAGAUAUGAUGGACACAGACUGGUCCUGAUGGUCAGUUAACGAAGCGGAGCACCUGAACUAGCAGUCACGUCUGCAAUAUACACACCAGCAAAACACUCCUGUAACACUAAACAGUUCAUGCAUAUCCUUGACUGAAGACGAUGUUGCAAAGGUUUCAGACAUCAGCUUUGGCGUUGACAAGAAACAAGAUGACGAGUACAAUGCUCCUGAUGAGUACAACACAGUGUAUAAGUUUGCUUUGUACUGCUUGAGAUCAUCUCUGGAAGGCGUUCAUAUUUUGACGACGAUGUGCUCCCAUAUUUUCCUUUCUGAAUACCAAAUUCUAUGUGUCCUCUUGUGUGGAAUCAAGUUCCUAAUUUAGCUAGAGCAAUACUUGAAAAGAGGAAUCACAAUUAGUUGUUUUUCAUGUGAUUGUAUAACAAUUUCUCAUAAAUGAAUAUAAUGCUGACUAAUUUACUGUUUG